UACGUAGGUGUCGAGCGUUGUCCGGAUUUAUUGGGCGUAAAGAGCCCGCAGGCGGCUUGGCAAGUUUGAGGUGAAAUCUCCCGGCUCAACUGGGGGGGUGCCUUGAAAACUGUCAGGCUUGAGUCAUGGAGAGGGAUGUGGAAUUCCAGGUGUAGUGGUGAAAUGCGUAGAUAUCUGGAGGAACAUCAGUGGCGAAGGCGGCAUCCUGGCCAUGUACUGACGCUCAGGGGCGAAAGCGUGGGGAGCAAACCGG
rnacentral:rRNA from 1 species